UGUCGGACUCAUGGUUGAGCAGCUACUAGUUACUAACAGGAAUCGUACUUGCGGUGUCUUCAAAAUAUAUCGUCAGCAACUAUGGGCCAGCAGAGACGCAGACGCCAUCUAUGAGUUGCGUGUGCGAAAUCCAAAUAGUACUGAGAUUGAGAAGAAAUGCAUGAACAAAUUCACGAAGUACAGCAGUCAUAAAGGCCGAAAGAUAUACUCCUCUCAUUGCAACGCCAAAAGUUACGACUGCAGCAUUUUGCCUGAAUGAUGUGUGUUCGAGACUGAUAAGUGGUGGUUGUUUUGAAUAAAUUAGUUUUGACAAUGACA